UAGGGAAUCUUCCACAAUGGACGCAAGUCUGAUGGAGCAACGGCCGCGUGAGUGAAGAAGGUUUUCGGACCGUAAAGCUCUGUUGUUGGUGAAGAAGGAUAGAGGUAGUAACUGGCCUUUAUUUGACGGUAAUCAACCAGAAAGUCACGGCUAACUACGUGCCAGCAGCCGCGGUAAUACGUAGAUGGCAAGCGUUGUCCGGAUUUAUUGGGCGUAAAGCGAGCGCAGGCGGAAGAAUAAGUCUGAUGUGAAAGCCCUCGGCUUAACCGAGGAAUUGCAUCGGAAACUGUUUUUCUUGAGUGCAGAAGAGGAGAGUAGAACUCCAUGUGUAGCGGUGGAAUGCGUAGAUAUAUGGAAGAAUACCAGUGGCGAAGGCGGCUCUCUGGUCUGCAACUGACGCUGAGGCUCGAAAGCAUGGGUAGCGAACAGGAUUAGAUACCCUGGUAGUCCAUGCCGUAAACGAUGAGUGCUAAGUGUUGGGAGGCUUCCGCCUCUCAGUGCUGCAGCUAACGCAUUAAGCACUCCGCCUGGGGGAGUACGACCGCAAGGUUGAAAC
rnacentral:rRNA from 1 species